rfam:Stegodyphus mimosarum contig64163, whole genome shotgun sequence.
GCCUUCGUAGUGUAAUGAUCAGUACGCUCGACGCGUAACCGAGAGGUCCGUGGUUCGAUUCCCGGCGAAGGCG